UAAACCAAUAAUGGAAUAGAACAUAGCGAGACAUAGUAAAAUU
rnacentral:misc_RNA from 1 species